rnacentral:rRNA from 1 species
AUUGAACGCUGGCGGCAGGCCUAACACAUGCAAGUCGAACGAGUGGCGGACGGGUGAGUAAUGUCUGGGAAACUGCCCGAUGGAGGGGGAUAACUACUGGAAACGGUAGCUAAUACCGCAUACCAUCGGAUGUGCCCAGAUGGGAUUAGCUAGUAGGUGGGGUACCGGCUCACCUAGGCGACGAUCCCUAGCUGGUCUGAGAGGAUGACCAGCCACAGUGGGACUGAGACACGGACCAGACGCCUACGGGAGGCAGCAGUGGGGAAUAGUGCACAAUGGGCGGAAGCCUGAUGCAGCGACGCCGCGUGGGGGAUGACGGCCUUCGGGUUGUAAACUCCUUUCACCAUCGACGCGGUAGAUGGAGAAGAAGCACCGGCUAACUACGUGCCAGCAGCCGCGGUAAUAC